rnacentral:rRNA from 1 species
CCUACGGGAGGCAGCAGUGGGGAAUAUUGGGCAAUGGACGAAACUCUGACCCAGCAACGCCGCGUGAAUGAUGAAGGUCUUCGGAUUGUAAAGUUCUUUUCUAAGGGAAGAAGAAAGUGACGGUACCUUCGGAAUAAGCCUCGGCUAACUACGUGCCAGCAGCCGCGGUAAUACGUAGGAGGCGAGCGUUAUCCGGAAUGACUGGGCGUAAAGGGUGGGUAGGUGGUUUGGCAAGUUAGUAGCGUAACUCCAAGGCUCAACCUUGGAACUACUGCUAAAACUGUUGGACUUGAGUGCAGGAGGGGCAACCGGAAUUCCAAGUGUAGCGGUGAAAUGCGUAGAUAUAAGGAGGAACACCAGAGGCGAAGGCGACCUGCUGGGCUUUUACUGACGCUGAGGCUCGAAAGUGUGGGGAGCAAACAGGAUUAGAUACCCGUGUAGUC